UACGUAGGGGGCUAGCGUUGUCCGGAAUCAUUGGGCGUAAAGAGCGUGUAGGCGGUCCGGUAAGUCCGCUGUGAAAGUCGGGGGCUCAACCCUCGAAUGCCGGUGGAUACUGUCGGGCUAGAGUGCGGAAGAGGCGAGUGGAAUUCCUGGUGUAGCGGUGAAAUUCGCAGAUAUCAGGAGGAACACCUAUUGCGAAGGCAGCUCGCUGGGACGUAACUGACGCUGAGACGCGAAAGCGUGGGGAGCAAACAGG
rnacentral:rRNA from 1 species